ensembl:misc_RNA Metazoa_SRP Metazoan signal recognition particle RNA
GCCGGGUGUGAUGGCUCAUGCCUGUAAUCCCAGCACUGUGGGAGGCUGAGGUGGGUGGAUCACCUGAGGUAGGGAGUUCGAGACCAGCCUGACCAACAUGGUGAAACCCCGUCUCUU